CACAAAACUGCGGACGAUGAGAAUGUUUCCAAAAACAAUUCUGCUCAGUUGAAGGGUUUGAUGAAGGGAAGCCAGACGGUUCGGAUGAAGAGCUCUCGCCGCCGUUCUGGUGAGUUCACGGCUUCUUUCAGGGACCGAUCGGAUGGACCGUUAUCGUUUCCUGCUGCUUCUCAUGACCGUUUGCUAACACAGAUGGGUCCAGUCCCGCCCAGCCCUCUGACAGUUCAGAAGCAGAACCGGCACCGAAGCCUUCCAAGCGCCUGUUCAUCCAAAAGACGUGCGAUUGGAGCAGUAAGGCGGACCAGAACUUUGUUCUGAAGAAGCUGAGUAAGGCUGUGGCUCUGGAUGAACUCAGCCAGCCCUUCUGGAUCAGGAAGUACCUCAUCAGUCCCACGGACCAGACGGUGCAGGGCACCGGCGCCGACCAGUGCAUCCACUACCGGGUCCGGAUCAGCGCUCCCAAACGGGAAAAGAAGAAACGAUCCGAACGGAAAAAUGUUCAGAGUCAGAAUAAGGGAGAGGAUCCUGCGAAGAUCAACCAAGCAGAGGUGAAGGCGGAGCCUGUGGAGGACCAACCAAAGAAAGGGAAGAUGACAGAGCAUUCUGAGGAGCAGCAGGAGCCUGAGAAGUUCAGGCAAGAAAUGGAGGAGGGAGAACUUCCAGAAGACUGGCAAAUGAAGGGGGCGGAGCCUAAUGGAGACUUCUAUAAGGAGGAGCCUGUGGAGGACGUGAAGGAAGCGGAGCUCCCUGAAGAUUGGUGGAAGGAAGGGGCGGGGCAUGUGGAAGACGGACAGGAAGAGGUGCAGCGGUUGAAGCCGUUGGAGGUAAAGGAGGAGGAGGAGCCUCUUAAAAACUGUCUGAAGGAGGGGGCGGGGCAUGUGGAGGACUGGGAGGAGGAGGAGGGGGUUGAAGACGAUAGAGGACGAGGAGGAUGAUUUCACCGGUUUCAGUGAAGACGAUGAGGACUGGAGUGGAGAGCAGAGAACCGGCUGCAUUCCGUUUCCUUUCCAGACGGAACGCUCGGCUGACGGUGUCCUCUCCGCCUCGCUCCGACAGCCAGGAGGGAAGGAUCAGCUCGUGCAGGUCAACGGGAAGGACUUCAACCUGGUAAAGAUUGAGUUGGGCAGGAUGGGGGCGCUCCACCCGGCCAACCGCCUGGCAGCGUUCCUGACGGGCCGCGCAGCCUCCACCCAGAGGCGCAAGGCCUUUUUACUGCGCUGCAGACGUCCUCGGGACUCGGUCAGCUCCGCCCCAUCUGUGCUCCCCGCCACCACCACUGUGGCGUUGGCCCCCACAGACCCGCAGCUCAAAAAGAGCGGGACCCCCACGGCUUCUAAAGCCCCCCAAAUGUUGCUCCUUCAAGUCCCCGGCCCACGCAAAGCUGUUCCUAUAUCGGUCGUGGCCCCCCAGGCGCCCGGACCCUUACCGAACCCGCCGAGGAUGAUCCUACAUCCAGUGCAGUCUCUGUCGGGCGUCAAGUAUUACCGCAAGUCUGACGGGAAGUUGGUCCAGCUGCUUCCUGUGUGCCACGUGAAGACCGCCGGCCCCAAGGCGCCAGCUCAGGGAGUGGUCCCCUUUUCACCCCUCACCACUUCAGCAUUGACCGUCGUCUCCGAUCCAAAGACCGCAGGGACCCCCUCAGCUGAAUCCUCUCCUUCUGUGACCCCCCUCAAUCAAAAACCCAACACCCUCAGAGGUCAGCGGAUGAUUAAAAUCCCGUUGAGCAGCUUCAAGAAAGACCCGGUGGUGUUGACCAUUAAGGCGCCGCCUCCCCCCCCUCAAGUGAACUCCCUCAAACCCCCUCCGGGUCAGGAGGUCAAGCCGGGCGUCCUGACGAGGCCGGUAACCGUCGUCCCUCUGGGUUCUGGUGGAGCCCAGAACCAACCCGCUGCCCCACCUCAGGUUGGGACCCCAACAUGUGCUCCUGCUGCCCCGCCCACUGGACAGACGAGUCCUCAGCAGGAGUUGGCCCGUCACCCGAGGGACCUGGACAUCGUCUGCGUGGACGAGGACACGGGGAUUUACUCGCGGAAGAGCCAGCAGGUGGAGUGUGUCGACUUGAGCAGCGAAACGGAGGACUCGUCGGACCUGAGGGAGUCGGAGAGCGAGGACGACAAACCGGGGGCCUUCCAGAGAGAACGUCUCAACGAGAAGGAACGGGAGCGCCGAGUUCAGAUGCGGCAGAUGUUCGGCGCCCUGAGCAGAGAGGUCGGGACGUCCCCGGACAAGCUGUCCAAGAUCAGCACGCUGAAGCGGGCGCUGGAAGAGAUCCAGGAGCUGAGGAGCGCCGAGACCCUCCUGAGGAGGAAGAAGACGCGACUGAAGAGGAGGAGGGACCAGUUCCUGUCCAUACUGGUUCCAUCAGCAGAAGAUCAUUCUGAUCUCAGCCUGAACGGGGCGCUGGACCUGUCGAACAAGUCUGUUCAUCUGUCGUCUGAUACCGAGGAAGACCCUGACCCAGAAUGCAUCGAGGUGACCUGCAGCGGGGUAAGGGACUGCCAGGGCUCCUCUCGCUGUGGUGGGACAAAGGAAGCGAAGAGUCAAAGCAACGCUCCUCGUCUCAGCUCAGGCAGCAGCAUGGAGCUCUCUGACACACCUGUUCUGAAAGAAAAAGUCCUCGAGCUCCUUCUGUCCAACCAGGACAAGCUGUCAGCAGGGGGCGGGGCCUCUGCACCAGCAGGACACGCCAACACUGGCAUCCUAAACACGCCGGCUCACCUGAAACCAGUGCUGACGCCCACCUGGGCUAAGACACGCCAGGCAGCGGUCCCGGCUCCGCCCCUCACGCUGCGGCGAAAGACGAUUCCCAUCAUUUUAUCUCACAGUAAAGGUUGUCCUCCGUCAGCCAAUAAGAAUCCAGCAGCUUUGCAGGGCCCCCCUUCUUCCCUCAUCCCGCCCCCUUUACAAAAGGCGUCACCUGGCGCCUCGGCGCUGACCCCGAUCCCUCUGGCGUUGGCUCCGGUGGUUCUGACGCCGGUUCCGGCAGCAGUUGUGAGCUCGCCCGCUGUGAUAAUCCCCAUCCUGACCAAUCAAGAGGCCACGCUGUGCUCAGGGCCCCGCCCCUCGACAGAUUUCAGCCGUCGGAUCAUAACUACACAACCCGCCGCGCAGCAGGACCCACAACCGCACACGCCACACGCACAGACGGACCGGGACCGGGAGCGUCGGCGGGGGGCUCCCGAUCCAGCCACACCUGCUCCACACCUGCCAGGUGUGUCUCACCUGAGCUCGUCGGAGGAAUCCAACUCGUCUGCACGCCCUCACGGUCCGGGUCAGAACCCGGAUCUUCACGCUGGAAGCCGGCCGCCGGCGCCGGACAGCGACGGCCUGUCGUCCCUCCUGGAUGAAAUCGUCUUUUUGAACCAGCAGCCCGUUUCCACGGCAACGGCAGGAAACCCGCUUUCUGAGGACUCCUCUGUGUUGGGCGGAGCCUCUGAAGGAGAACACGCCCCCAAACCGAACGGACCACCAGCAUCCGGUGGGGGGGCCGUGCAGCCGGGACAGACAGCUGGGAGUGGGAGGGGCUGCGUCCUGGCCCCGCCCCCGUUACUGCACAUGAAAGUGGGCGGGGCUGCAGUGACGGGCCACGCCAACAGUGCCAAGACAGCAGCGGGGGGUCCGGUAGAUGGGGGAGGGCAGGGGGGUCCGGGGUCUCUGGGUACGACAUGGAGGCCCAGACCGAUGCCGAGGCUGGUUCCUCUGGGCCGCAGAGGAGUGUCCCCCACCUGACCCGGCCCGGCCCGACACUCGGUGGAGCGUUUUUACUGAGAAAGUUGUUUAUUUAGUUGUUUGUGUUCUGUAAACAGAACCGGGCCGUUCUCCCCCUCCUGAGCUCAGAACCUCUGAAGACGUUUUCAGCUUUUUAAGUUAAACCGUCAAACUGACAGGCUGGACCGGAGAACCCGGUUCUUGAUCUUUUUCAGAAAAAAUCUAUUUGUUUUGUGUUUUGUUUGGGUGGGGUGGGGGGGGGGGGGUGAGGGGGGGGGGGGGGGUGUCUGGUUCCUGAUGACGUCCGUCUGGAGUUCACACGUUUUUACUGAAACUGAAAAACGAGUCAAAGUAAGCUGAAAAAAAGAAAAUACAGAAAUGUUUUCAGAUCUAUUAUAAGUCAAUGCUUUUAUUUUGAAAGGAAAAAGAAUGCAGGAACACUCUCUGCUGCUUCCUGCCUCAGAGUAAGAGCAGUCCUCUGUUGUUUCAUAAACAUCUGUUGUAAAUCCUGUUUGGAUCAUAAAGGUUUUAUAAGAACGUUGGAGUCUGAAUGUGAUUUAAGGAGAAUUUGAUGUCAAAAGUUUUUAUUUUGUGAGUAUUUUGGACAAAUUCUCCGUCCAAACGGACCCUGGUCCGGUACCAGGAACCGCUCUUUGACCCAUCUUUUGAGGCGGUCACGAUUCAUUUCCAAUCGGAAUAAACUCUGUUUGGUUUUGAGUUUCUGAGUCUGAAUAGGCUCCAUGCUCGAAGUGGAACAACUGAACCGAAACAGCCGCCGUAGCCGAGCGUUACGAGAUACUUCUUGCUUCUCGCCGUCUGACUGCAAAACGCAGAACCCGCCCUCAUAAUUCCCGGCAAAUGACUGAAGAGAUCUUUAGUCACAUGGUUUUGUUUACAAGCUUUGGUUCAAAGCAGAAAUGUUCUGAUUGACAGGUAGACCAAAAUUUAGGACACGAUAUGGACUAAAUUAGGCGGACCCGGUCCGGACCAACAGAAUUUUCUUGUC
ensembl:lncRNA